AGAGUUACUGGUGCUUCUCACCUGGAUUCAGCAUGCAGGAACUGGUGAGGCAGGGUGUGCGCAGCAUUAUUCUCACCAGCUGGAACCUCUCCCCCCCUGUCCUCCUUCACCUCCAAAAUGCAAAUGUGAGUGUGUCAUCGUCUCUGACUGAGAGGUGUCUGUCUAAAACACACACACACCUGUGUGGUUCUUGUUCUUUUUAUUAAGGUGCCAAAUUGACUAAUAAAAAAGGAGUGAAAAAAGCUACAGCGUGAAAUAAACCAUCAUCUUUGUUUAUCACCUGAGGUGCUGGUGUAAAAAGGUUAGUCAAUAUUUUCCUCUAUUUCUUUGGGGACAGAGCUACAUAAGAACAUUGCACAGUCAUAUUGUUUAGGUCCUUUUUCAGUCGUAGUUGUCUUGACAUGUGUGCGUUGGUCAUUUAGUAGACUCAUAUACAGAGUGGCUUCAAAUCAGACCACAUAGCUCUCUUUUUGGUGUUUUCUACUGACAGUGGUUUCCUUUUUGGUGUAUUCUACUGACAGUGGUUUCCUUUUUUGUGCUUUGCUUCUUCUCCUGAACUCUCGCCCCCAUAGUCCAUUUCAAGUGUGCCUGGAAAACGCCUAUGUGAUUCAGCAUGAUUAGAUCUUUGUCAGCGUCAUCGACCGGGGUCCAGACAACAUGCAACUCCGCUCAGCGUUUGACUGCAGGAUUCUACCAGUUCAUACGACCCCAUCACAAGAAGAAAUUUGAGAAAUGCGUGGAGCUGACUGGCCAGGGCUGUGGCUACAAACCUGAUCACUCACUCCCAAGGAUGAGAAAGAAACGUUGAUGCAUGUUGCCAUCACUUCUGUCUCUAGCUCCACCUGCAGUCGGCUCAACAACAGUUUGCAGCUUAAUAAAGGAGGCCAUCACCUUGGAAACCAUGGCUUGACCACAGAGGCGCAUUUGCCAAAUAACCAAGUGAUGAUAGGUACAGCUGGAUACAUGGAGUGUAUUCAAUGAGAUUAAACGUUCACAACAUUCUAAUAGAAAUAAACUAUUAG
rnacentral:lncRNA from 8 species